rnacentral:rRNA from 1 species
UUCAAAGAGUGCGUAACAGCUCACUAGUCGAGUAUCUCUGCGCCGAAAAUUAACCGGGGCUAAGCGUAAUACCGAAUCUAUGGAUUUAUACUUAGGUAUAAGUGGUAGGGGAGCGUUCCAUACAGCAUUGAAGGUAUACCGUAAGGAGUGCUGGAGCGUAUGGAAGUGAGAAUGCCGGUGUGAGUAGCGAGAUGUGGGUGAGAAUCCCACACACCGAACAACCAAGGUUUCCAGGGGAAGGUUCGUCCGCCCUGGGUAAGUCGGGACCUAAGGCCAGGCCGAAAGGCGUAGUCGAUGGACAGCAGGUUGAUAUUCCUGCACCCGCGAGUAAAGUGAUGGAGUGACAGAUAGGGUUAGCCCUAGUCCUUAAUGGAUUGGGCAAGGCANNNNNNNNNNGGAGAGUGGCGUAGGCAAAUCCGCGCCGGAUACUCAAAGGCUUGACUCAAGCGAACGCGCGAGCAAGUAGUGAAGAGGGCGAUACCAGGUCUCAAGAAAAGCUUCUAGCGAUAAUUUACUAGCGGCCCGUACCAAAACCGACACAGGUGGUUGAGGCGAGUAGCCUAAGGUGAGCGAGAGAACUGUUGCCAAGGAACUCGGCAAAUUGACCCCGUACGUUAGCAAUAAGGGGUGCUCGAAAGAGCCGCAGUGAAU